rnacentral:rRNA from 1 species
CCUACGGGAGGCAGCAGUGGGGAAUAUUGGACAAUGGGCGAAAGCCUGAUCCAGCAAUGCCGCGUGAGUGAUGAAGGCCUUAGGGUUGUAAAGCUCUUUUACCAGGGAUGAUAAUGACAGUACCUGGAGAAUAAGCUCCGGCUAACUCCGUGCCAGCAGCCGCGGUAAUACGGAGGGAGCUAGCGUUAUUCGGAAUUACUGGGCGUAAAGCGUACGUAGGCGGUUAUUCAAGUCAGAGGUGAAAGCCCGGGGCUCAACCCCGGAACUGCCUUUGAAACUAGAUAACUAGAGUCUUGGAGAGGUUAGUGGAAUUCCGAGUGUAGAGGUGAAAUUCGUAGAUAUUCGGAAGAACACCAGUGGCGAAGGCGACUAACUGGACAAGUACUGACGCUGAGGUACGAAAGCGUGGGGAGCAAACAGGAUUAGAUACCCUGGUAGUCCACGCCGUAAACGAUGAUAACUAGCUGUCCGGGCACUUGGUGCCGUGGGUAGCGCAGCUACGACAUUAAGUUAUUCCGUCCGUCGGGUAGGUACGGUCGCGAAGAAUUAAACUAACAAAGAAGUUAGUACGGCGUGAGACGUCGCCGACGGACGACGACGAGGGAGUAGG